rnacentral:rRNA from 1 species
UCCGUAGGGGGCGAGCGUUGUCCGGAGUUACUGGGCGUAAAGCGCUUGUAGGCGGUCCACCAAGUUUGGGGUGACAGUUGCCGACUUAAUCGGCAAAGUGCCUCAAAGACUGGCGGACUUGAGGGCCACAGAGGGACAUGGAACUCCAGGUGUAGUGGUGAAAUGCGUAGAUAUCUGGAAGAACACCAAAGGCGAAGGCAGUGUCCUGGGUGGUCGCUGACGCUGAGAGGCGAAAGCCAGGGGAGCGAACGGG